rnacentral:rRNA from 1 species
GACGAACGCUGGCGGCGUGCCUAAUACAUGCAAGUAGGACGCACAGUUUAUACCGUAGCUUGCUACACCAUAGACUGUGAGUUGCGAACGGGUGAGUAACGCGUAGGUAACCUGCCUAUUAGAGGGGGAUAACUAUUGGAAACGAUAGCUAAUACCGCAUAACAGUAUGUAACACAUGUUAGAUGCUUGAAAGAUGCAAUUGCAUCGCUAGUAGAUGGACCUGCGUUGUAUUAGCUAGUAGGUAGGGUAAUGGCCUACCUAGGCGACGAUACAUAGCCGACCUGAGAGGGUGAUCGGCCACACUGGGACUGAGACACGGCCCAGACUCCUACGGGAGGCAGCAGUAGGGAAUCUUCGGCAAUGGGGGGAACCCUGACCGAGCAACGCCGCGUGAGUGAAGAAGGUUUUCGGAUCGUAAAGCUCUGUUGUUAAGGAAGAAACGAGUGUGAGAAUGGAAAGUUCAUACUGU